rnacentral:rRNA from 1 species
AACGAACGCUGGCGGCGUGCUUAACACAUGCAAGUCGAACGCGAAAGAGUUCUUCGGAACUUGAGUAGAGUGGCGCACGGGUGAGUAACGCGUAAGUAAUCUACCCUGGUAUCUGGGAUAACCCACCGAAAGGUGUGCUAAUACCGGAUACGCUGAUUUAUCAGGAAAGGUGGCCUCUUCAUGAAAGCUACUGUACCAGGAGGAGCUUGCGUACCAUUAGCUAGUUGGUAGGGUAAUGGCCUACCAAGGCAACGAUGGUUAGCGGGUCUGAGAGGAUGAUCCGCCACACUGGAACUGGAACACGGACCAG